AGAACGAACGCUGGCGGCAUGCCUAGUACAUGCAAGUCGAACGAACUCUUCGGAGUUAGUGGCGCACGGGUGCGUAACGCGUGGGAAUCUGCCCCUUGGUUCGGAAUAACAGUUGGAAACGACUGCUAAUACCGGAUGAUGACGAAAGUCCAAAGAUUUAUCGCCAAGGGAUGAGCCCGCGUAGGAUUAGCUAGUUGGUGAGGUAAAGGCUCACCAAGGCAACGAUCCUUAGCUGGUCUGAGAGGAUGAUCAGCCACACUGGGACUGAGACACGGCCCAGACUCCUACGGGAGGCAGCAGUAGGGAAUAUGGACAAUGGGCGAAAGCCUGAUCCAGCAAUGCCGCGUGAGUGAUGAAGGCCUUAGGGUUGUAAAGCUCUUUUACCCGAGAUGAUAAUGACAGUAUCGGAGAAUAAGCCCCGGACUAACUCCGCGCCAGCAGCCGAC
rnacentral:rRNA from 1 species